UGGAUACUCUUACAAUUAACG
rnacentral:piRNA from 1 species